rnacentral:rRNA from 1 species
GAUGAACGCUGGCGGCAGGCUUAAUACAUGCAAGUCGAACGGUAACAGUACUAGCAAUAGUAGCUGACGAGUGGCGCACGGGUGCGUAACGCGUAUGCAACCUACCCAUAAUUGGAACAUAACGUUGAGAAAUUAACGCUAAUAUUUCAUGUGAAUAUGAAGAGGCAUCUUUUUAUAUUUAAAGAUUCAUUGAUUAUGGAUGGGCAUGCGUAUCAUUAGCUAGUUGGUGAGGUAACGGCUCACCAAGGCAACGAUGAUUAGGGGUUCUGAGAGGAUAUCCCCCCACACUGGAACUGAGACACGGUCCAGACUCCUACGGGGGGCAGCAGUAGGGAAUAUUGGGCAAUGGAAGCAAUUCUGACCCAGCCAUGCCGCGUGAAGGAAUACAGCCCUAUGGGUUUUAAACUUCUUUUAUUAUAGAUUAACCGGAGGUACGUGUACCUCCCUGCAAGUAUAUGAUGAAUAAGGAUCGGCUAACUCCGUGCCAGC